GCACCGCGCGCGCGCUCACUGAGAUCCGAGGGGAGAAGUUGACAUCGUGGUGGUUGUUGUUGUGGUGGUUGUUGUUGUUGUGGUGGUUUUUGUUGUUUACCCAGGUAGAGCCUCGCUCCGUCUCUCGUAGGGAUAUCAAUUGAGUAGCAGCGAGUAUGGAAUCCAUGUCCAGGUUUGGGAGAAAAACGGAAAACCCAGUGGAACACCAAUGCCGACGGUGACGGCUGACGCCAGGAUAGCGGCCACGGGCUCGAAGCGAGGGCAACCCGGCUCUUGUCCCAAGAAAGGAAUCCGCUCCCCGCUGCCCUCCACGGUGGCGCAUCGCCGGCGGGGCUGCACGUUGAGCCCCAACUUUUCCAGGCGAUGAUGCUCGCUCUGCAGAGUUGGUCUGAUGGAGCAAAGGCACUCAGCGCAGCUCGGUACAAGAAAGAAACAAUGCGACCAGAAUGCAAACAGCAUGGAUCGUACUGGAAACUUGACACAGCACCAGAGAACACACACAGGAGAGAAACCUUUUAAGUGCAGUGUGUGUAAAAAGGUGUUUGCACGGUCAUCCAUUCUUAAAUCACACCAGAGAACA